rnacentral:rRNA from 1 species
AAUAUUGGACAAUGGAGGCAACUCUGAUCCAGCCAUGCCGCGUGUAGGAAGACUGCCCUAUGGGUUGUAAACUACUUUUAUAGAGGAAGAAACCCCGAUAUGUAUAUCGGUCUGACGGUACUCUACGAAUAAGGAUCGGCUAACUCCGUGCCAGCAGCCGCGGUAAUACGGAGGAUCCAAGCGUUAUCCGGAAUCAUUGGGUUUAAAGGGUUCGUAGGCGGUUUUGUAAGUCAGUGGUGAAAGUUUUCGGCUCAACCGGAAAAUUGCCAUUGAUACUGCAAGACUUGAAUUAUUGUGAAGUGGUUAGAAUGUGUAGUGUAGCGGUGAAGUGCAUAGAUAUUACACAGAAUACCGAUUGCGAAGGCAGAUCACUAACAAUAUAUUGACGCUAAGGGACGAAAGCGUGGGUAGCGAACAGGAUUAGAUACCCUGGUAGUCCACGCCGUA